UCUGCCAUUAAUAAUUUUAUUAGGUUCUCUCUGUUGCCUGUGAUCUCCACCAUUGUCUACUUCGUCCCCUUCCGUACGCCCGAGAACUCCCUCCUUGAGGUACUAGGUUCCACUCUUCUCCUUGCUUUCCCUAAUCGUUCCCAUUUUUUAUAUAAAUUUUCUUCGGUUUCCUUGAAUAUAUAUACAUACAUUCAUGUCGUUAUGGUGACUGUCGGGGCUCGUUAGCAACAAAUAAACCGAGACGAUGAUAUGAGUUGCGUCGGUUUCCCUCGAUCGACCAUUGACGCUGCUACGAUGGUCGAAAUGUGACAAAUCCUUCGCAUCCCUCCUAUUGACCCGGAGUUGAAGGUUCGGAUACAACUGCCGGACGGCGAUAUGCCAGACGCCGAUAGAGAACAAACACCCAAUACGAUUCCUAUGUGGGUGAAUCAAAUAGACGCUGGGCUUCGUUUGCCACAUUCCAAAUUUUUUGUCGAUGUUUGCGAGCGUUUCGAAAAUUUCUUUUUUCCAGAUUUCACCGUCUUCCCUUCGUCGAGCCUAUAUUCUUCAUAUCGUUUGCGCAGCUAAUAAUUAUACCGAUAGCGCAGAACUUUUUCAUAAAACCCAUAUUUUAAAAAGGAUGGGUUUCUUGGAGGGGUCUGACCUCCCUCGAUAAAAAAUUUUAUGAUAAGUAUUUUUUUGUUAAAGUAAGAAAUGGGGACUGGGCCUCUUAUGCCAGCACAGCCGAGGUGGAAUGGCAUCGCCUCUAACACCGAACUCCCUCCCCUAAAGUUCGUCUAUCCGAUACUGAGUACUAUCUGCUUGAAGCCAUAAAUUCAGCCCACACAUCAAAAGAACUUGAUGUCGUGAAACUUGUGUCUUAUCCUUCUGUUCUUGUCGGCGCAGGCCUAUUUUCCAGAUAUCCCGCCUCAGCCGUUGAUAUAAUUUUAAUUGUGAUUGCUUGAUUUUUCUCUUAUAAUUGAUGUGUAAUCGCAGGGUUUCAUCGAUCUAUUGUACCUCUAAUCAUGUCGUCCUGUGCAGGUAUGUGGAAGACAACCAAGCACGGCAAAGUUGUCGGUUUUACCUUUGUUCACUCUCUCCUACAAGGAGAAUCUAAAGCUGCACAGGCGGGAGUCUGCACCGUCCAACGGGUCGACCCAGAAUCUUUUGAUCCAGGGCAGCCUCGUUUUUCCUCAGCCGCUCAAGAUCCUCAUCACCUCCAUCUCAUGGACGAAGAGGAAGCCUCUGAUGACGAUGUCUCUCUUCUGGACAGUAAACGCCGGAAGACCCGGAAGACUCCCUCUUCCAGUUAUAAGAAGAAAAAAGAAAGCUGCACCGGCUGUGCAGGUGGUCCUCGAGGAGGGUGAUUCCUCCUUCGAAGAGCUUCUCACCAGCCACUCUCAUCCUUCCAAGAAGAAAUCUGGUGGUGAUGUCCUCGAGUUGGGGCCUCCCAGUCCUCGUGCUCUUCAAGACUUGAUCGGCGCAGAGUGCCUCCCGCCAUCUGGUAAGGGCGGCGUCUACCCUCCAAGCUAAGGAGCGGGAUCUUCUAGCGGCGCUGGGAAAAUGCACCGAUAUGGAGGAGGAACUACGCCAGUCAAAGACGGAGAAUGCUAGGGUGAUAGCGGAGAGGGAUUCUCUUAGUACUGAGCUGGAGAGAGUGACUAAGAGCAAGGCUGAGGAAUUUGAUGCUCUCCACCAUUCUCCAUCUGAGGAAUUUGGAGAGCGUCUGAACAGACUAAAGGAAGCCAUCGUGGAAAGGGAGAACCAAGCUUUCGCACACAUUAGAAGCUUUCUGUCAAACUCCCGAGGUGCUGUGGGUGUUGGGUCCGGGCAUGAAGUUCUUGGUAGUGGAUGCAUGCCGCAUCCUGCUGGACCUUGUUGAUGCUACUUCUGAGCAGCGCAGCCGAUAUACUCCACAGGAGGUCGUUGAUAAGAUAAACGACAAGGAGCUUGACCAGCUACUCGGCAUCAAUUCUGCGGCACCCCAGACACCCGAGGUGGUGGGUGCCUGUGCUGGACAAAGCUCUGCGCUUAUUUAUUGACAGCGUAUGCGAUCACCCUAAACUCAUGCAGUCUUUUGUUCGAACUCCCCUCCUUGAUCGCCUCCGCCACAAUGUUGUCCGCUCUCCUCGUGGAAAUUAUCCUGGCGGAAGUAUCUUCUAUCCUCCUCCCCCUGCUGUGGCCCCUACGAGAGUGCCUGAAUCUACGCAUGCUCCUGACAUCCCAGCUCGGGCAGUUCUGGGCCAUGCUCCAGUGGAUGAUCAACGCAGCACGGCAGAGGAGGAGAUAGUCGUGGACAAUCCUCCUCAUCCCCGCCCUUGAUGUUGAAGACCUAAUUCUCAUUGUAGUUUAAACUGGUUCUGCUGAUGUAACUCUUAGACUUUCAGAAAACUUAGUAGUUGGUUUGUUAAACAAUUUCCUUAUUUUGUACUAGUGGAUUUGUGAUGUUUGUCAAUUCUACUAUGAUCUUAAUGUUUUGAAAUCCUUA